GAAAUCUGUUUCAUAUUUCAGAAAUCUUAUUACCUGUAUCAUUUUAUCAUUCUUUUUUCAAGUUAAAGCAAGAAAAUAUCCGGAGAAUAGAUAUUUUCUCACUUUGAUGAUUUCCUUAUCAAUUACUGUAAGCAGUAUAAAGGGGUGUCCGUGCUGGAAUGGUUAAAGUAGUUGUUUUCAAACCACUUGUCCCAGACCGCUGUAAGUUCGAGUCUUGCAAAGGACUUUGGAUUCUUUCAAGUCAGAAUGCUAUCCAGCUAGAUAGCUAACGGAACGUCGGUCGUUCUACUUAGGUGCCCAAUCGUGCCUGAAAUAAUGUUAGCAUGGACACCUUAGGUCUUCUUCCUUCAGUUCACAUGAUGGUGUACGUAGUGCCUUUUUCAAUUUGCUCACAUGAUUGUGUAGUGCCUUUUUCAAUUUGCUCACAUGAUUGUGUAGUGCCUUUUUCAAUUUGCUCACAUGAUUGAUUUUUUCAAAAUGCUCUCAUGAUUGUGUAGUGCCUUUUUCUAUAUGCUCACUGACAUGAUUGUGUAGUGCCUUUUUCUAUAUGCUCACUCACAUGAUUGUGUAGUGCCUUUUUCAAUAUGCUCACCUGAUUGUGUAGUGCCUUUUUCAAUUUGCUCACAUGAUUGAGUUUUUCAAAAUGCUCUCAUGAUUGUGUAGUGUCUAUUUCAAAAUGAUCACGUGAUUAUGUAAUGCCACAAACUGAUACAAAAUGUUAACAACGAUAUCCGCCUGACACUCUUUUUGACGUGUUGCAAAAAGAAAAUCCUAAGCAAUUACAUUAAAUGUAAUAUCCUUUUGACUGAUAUUCACUCUUUGCUAUGCAGAGCGUUUUAUUUUUGGAACGACGAGGAGAAAUGUAUCUUGCCCGGAAAUUACGCCAUUAAAUGGAAAAAACAGAGAUAGUGGAUGUUUUUCACAAGGCAGUGUAGAUACAAGACCAUAUAGAGAGCCCGCACCAGUCCCAACGGAACAUUCCGAAACAGUAAGUAUACGUUAUAU